rnacentral:rRNA from 1 species
GUGGGGAAUCUUGCGCAACGGGCGAAAGCCUGACGCAGCCAUGCCGCGUGAAUGAUGAAGGUCUUAGGAUUGUAAAAUUCUUUCACCGGGGACGAUAAUGACGGUACCCGGAGAAGAAGCUCCGGCUAACUUCGUGCCAGCAGCCGCGGUAAUACGAAGGUCCCAAGCGUUGUUCGGAAUCACUGGGCGUAAAGGGAGCGUAGGCGGCGUGGUAAGUCAGAUGUGAAAUCCCGGGGCUCAACCCCGGAACUGCAUCCGAUACUGCCAUGCUUGAGGGUUGGAGAGGUAGCUGGAAUUCUCGGUGUAGCAGUGAAAUGCGUGGAUAUCGAGAGGAACACUCGUGGCGAAGGCGAGCUACUGGACAACAUCUGACGCUGAGGCUCGAAGGCCAGGGGAGCAAAAGGGAUUAGAUACCCGGGUAGUCC